UCCCUUGUCGCUCAGCUGGUAAAGAACCUGCCUGCAAUGCAGGAGACCUGGGUUCGAUCCCCGGGUUGGGAA
rnacentral:tRNA from 1 species